rnacentral:rRNA from 1 species
AGGGUUUGAUUCUGGCUCAGAAUGAACGUUGGCGGCAUGGAUUAGGCAUGCAAGUCGAGCGGAUCUAUCUCGCAAGAGAUAGUCGAGCGGCGUAAGGGACAGUAAUACGUAGAUACCUACCCUCGGGUCUGGGAUAGCUGUGGGAAACUACAGGUAAUACCAGAUAAUGUUUCCGAACCAAAGGUGUGAUUCCACCUGAGGAGGGGUCUGCGUCCUAUUAGCUAGUUGGUGAGGUAAUGGCUCACCAAGGCAACGAUGGGUAGUAGGUGUGAGAGCACGACCUACGUCACUGGGACUGAGACACUGCCCAGACACCUACGGGUGGCUGCAGUCGGGAAUUUUCGGCAAUGGGCGCAAGCCUGACCGAGCGAUGCCGCGUGUGGGAUGAAGGCUUUCGGGUUGUAAACCACUGUCGGAGAGGAUGAAACACCAUUGGGCCAUCCCUUUGGAUUGACAAAUCCUCGGAGGAAGUACGGGCUAAGUUCGUGCCAGCAGCGCGGUAAGACGAACCGUACAAACGUUAUUCGGAAUCACUGGGCUUAAAGGGUGCGUAGGCGGCGUGGUAAGUCAGAUGUGAAAUCCCUCGGCUCAACCGAGGAACUGCGUUUGAUACUGCCAUGCUAGAGGAAGAUAGAGGUGAGCGGAACUUAGGGUGGAGCGGUGAAAUGCGUUGAUAUCCUAAGGAACACCUGUGGCGUAAGCGGCUCACUGGGUCUUUUCUGACGCUGAGGCACGAAAGCUAGGGGAGCAAACGGGAUUAGAUACCCCGGUAGUCCUAGCCGUAAACUAUGAAUACUGGAUUGGAGGGCCCUCCAUAGCCUUCCAGUCGAAGCGAAAGUGUUAAGUAUUCCGCCUGGGGAGUAUGGUCGCAAGGCUGAAACUCAAAGAAAUUGACGGGGGCUCACACAAGCGGUGGAGGAUGUGGCUUAAUUCGAGACUACGCGAAGAACCUUAUCCUAGUCUUGACAUGCACGGAUUAACUCUCUGAAAGGGGAGCCAGGCCUUCGGGUACAACGUGCACAGGUGCUGCAUGGCUGUCGUCAGCUCGUGUCGUGAGAUGUCGGGUUAAGUCCCUUAACGAGCGAAACCCUUGUCCUUAGUUACCAGCGGGUCAUGCCGGGGACUCUAAGGAGACUGCCGGUGUUAAACCGGAGGAAGGUGGGGAUGACGUCAAGUCCUCAUGGCCUUUAUGACUAGGGCUGCACACGUCCUACAAUGGUACACACAAAGGGAUGCAAAAUCGCAAGAUCAAGGAAAUCCCAGAAAAUGUACCCCAGUACGGAUUGCAGGCUGCAACUCGCCUGCAUGAAGCUGGAAUCGCUAGUAAUCGCGGGUCAGCAUACCGCGGUGAAUGUGUUCCUGACCCUUGUACACACCGCCCGUCAAGCCACGAAAGCGGGGGGCAUCCGAAGUCGCCGUAGUAACCGCAAGGAACUAAGCGCCUAAGAUGAACUCUGUGAUUGGGACUAAGUCGUAACAAGGUA